rfam:Hordeum vulgare subsp. vulgare, WGS project CAJW01000000 data, contig: morex_contig_1559558
GGACGGUGACAAUUGAUAUUUGGUCUCGUUCAUGGUAACUGGCAUCUUCUUUUGGUCGACCAUUCUGUUGUAUCAUCUCCCAUAUUCUGUGUCC